CCUACGGGAGGCAGCAGUGAGGAAUAUUGGUCAAUGGACGAGAGUCUGAACCAGCCAAGUAGCGUGAAGGAUGACUGCCCUAUGGGUUGUAAACUUCUUUUAUAAAGGAAUAAAACGAGGCACGUGUGCCUUUUUGCGUGUACUUUAUGAAUAAGGAUCGGCUAACUCCGUGCCAGCAGCCGCGGUAAUACGGAGGAUCCGAGCGUUAUCCGGAUUUAUUGGGUUUAAAGGGAGCGUAGAUGGGUUGUUAAGUCAGUUGUGAAAGUUUGCGGCUCAACCGUAAAAUUGCAAUUGAUACUGGCAUUCUUGAGUACAGUUGAGGUAUGCGGAAUGCGUGGUGUAGCGGUGAAAUGCUUAGAUAUCACGAAGAACCCCGAUUGCGAAGGCAGCUUACUAAACUGCGACUGACACUGAUGCACGAAAGUGUGGGUAUCAAACAGGAUUAGAUACCCUAGUAGUC
rnacentral:rRNA from 1 species